CCUACGGGGGGCAGCAGUGGGGAAUAUUGGACAAUGGGCGAAAGCCUGAUCCAGCCAUGCCGCGUGUGUGAAGAAGGCCUUCGGGUUGUAAAGCACUUUCAGUGGGGAAGAAAGCCUUGGGGCUAAUACCCUCGAGGAAGGACAUCACCCACAGAAGAAGCACCGGCUAACUCCGUGCCAGCAGCCGCGGUAAUACGGAGGGUGCGAGCGUUAAUCGGAAUUACUGGGCGUAAAGCGCGCGUAGGCGGUCUGAUAAGCCGGUUGUGAAAGCCCCGGGCUCAACCUGGGAACGGCAUCCGGAACUGUCAGGCUAGGGUGCAGGAGAGGAAGGUAGAAUUCCCGGUGUAGCGGUGAAAUGCGUAGAGAUCGGGAGGAAUACCAGUGGCGAAGGCGGCCUUCUGGACUGACACUGACGCUGAGGUGCGAAAGCGUGGGUAGCAAACAGGAUUAGAUACCCGUGUCGUC
rnacentral:rRNA from 1 species